rnacentral:rRNA from 1 species
UACGAAGGGGGCUAGCGUUGUUCGGAAUACUGGGCGUAAAGCGCACGUAGGCGGACAUUUAAGUCAGGGGUGAAAUCCCAGAGCUCAACUCUGGAACUGCCUUUGAUACUGAGGAUCUUGAGUUCGGGAGAGGUGAGUGGAACUGCGAGUGAGAGGUGAAAUUCGUAGAUAUUCGCAAGAACACCAGUGGCGAAGGCGCUACC